GUGGGGAAUAUUGGACAAUGGGCGAAAGCCUGAUCCAGCCAUGCCGCGUGUGUGAAGAAGGUCUUCGGAUUGUAAAGCACUUUAAGUUGGGAGGAAGGGCAGUAAGUUAAUACCUUGCUGUUUUGACGUUACCAACAGAAUAAGCACCGGCUAACUUCGUGCCAGCAGCCGCGGUAAUACGAAGGGUGCAAGCGUUAAUCGGAAUUACUGGGCGUAAAGCGCGCGUAGGUGGUUCAGCAAGUUGGAGGUGAAAUCCCCGGGCUCAACCUGGGAACUGACUCCAAAACUACUGAGCUAGAGUACGGUAGAGGGUAGUGGAAUUUCCUGUGUAGCGGUGAAAUGCGUAGAUAUAGGAAGGAACACCAGUGGCGAAGGCGACUACCUGGACUGAUACUGACACUGAGGUGCGAAAGCGUGGGGAGCAAACAGGAUUAGAAACCCUGGUAGUCC
rnacentral:rRNA from 1 species